rnacentral:rRNA from 1 species
CAGUCGCCGCGGGAAUACGUAGGUGGCAAGCGUUGUCCGGAAUUAUUGGGCGUAAAGGGCUCGCAGGCGGUUUCUUAAGUCUGAUGUGAAAGCCCCCGGCUCAACCGGGGAGGGUCAUUGGAAACUGGGAAACUUGAGUGCAGUAGAGGAGAGUGGAAUUCCACGUGUAGCGGUGAAAUGCGUAGAGAUGUGGAGGAACACCAGUGGCGAAGGCGACUCUCUGGUCUGUAACUGACGCUGAGGAGCGAAAGCGUGGGGAGCGAACAGGAUUAGAUACCCCAGUAGUCCCUGUCUCUUAUAC